ensembl:processed_transcript Rian RNA imprinted and accumulated in nucleus
UUUUUAUUAUCUUUGCUGUUGUGCCCUCCCUGGAUGGGUGCUGGCACAUGAUGUCUUGCCUGCUGGUCCGUGGUUGCACUCUCACCAUGUGGAUGGAGCUCGACAGCUGAAAAUGCAUUCUUCCACCAAGAUGAUUUACACAGCCUAGCUGGAUCAGGAGCCCCCUAAUAAGCUGCUUCAGAUUGUAAUAUAGACACAGUAAUGUAUGCCUGCAGGAUGAUUCCCACCUUCUUCGUUAGUCUUGAGGUUUGAGAUUCCCUGUUUGUGUCUGCAGGAUUCAGAUAGUAAUGGAUAUCCUGCAAGUCGGCUUCGUAGAGUCUCCCUUGAAAGUGGACCUCGUGAUCUAGCCUUUAUGUCCGUGGAUUGACACUGUGAUGGAUUCCCCCCAAGUUCAUUUAGAUAUUCUCUCUUAUUCAUAAAUGUCACGGUCAGCUCUGUUCUUAUAGAUACCAGAAUGGAUACCCCAAGAAUGGAUACCCCUAAGCUGAUGUAUAUACACCCUUCCUCGGUUGUGAGAUUCCUGCUCUGGUGGUUGUAGUCAUAAGAUAUACAUCGUUGCGUACACCUUGGUUGUGGGCACGCACACUACUGUUGAAUUACCACCUUGUCCAUGUGGAUGGAUGCCCUCAAUGGGAUUGGCACUUUCUCCAUUGCUCCUGCGCUCUGUUAUCAGCACUUCGGGUUCAUAAUGUACACACAGCAAUGGAUUUUCUGCAGCUGAUUUUCCAUAUUCUGUUUUCUUCGGGUAAGCAGAAACAGAUGCCUUCCUCACUGGUCACCAGGUUCAAGGUCCCUCAUAUGUGUCAGGUGCAUAGUCACCAACAAAGGCCAACUUCACAUCAAUGGGUGGAUCAUACCUCGGCCUAAGCUCCAGGAUUGAUUGUGCUGUUAGAGUCACAGCUACAACC